rnacentral:rRNA from 2 species
CAUAUCAAUAAGCGGAGGAAAAGAAACUAACAAGGAUUCCCCUAGUAACUGCGAGUGAAGCGGGAAAAGCUCAAAUUUAAAAUCUGUCAGUCUUUGGCUGUCCGAGUUGUAAUCUAGAGAAGUGUUAUCCGCGCUGGACCGUGUACAAGUCUCCUGGAAUGGAGCGUCAUAGAGGGUGAGAAUCCCGUCUCUGACACGGACUACCAGGGCUUUGUGAUGCGCUCUCAAAGAGUCGAGUUGUUUGGGAAUGCAGCUCAAAAUGGGUGGUAAAUUCCAUCUAAAGCUAAAUAUUGGCGAGAGACCGAUAGCGAACAAGUACCGUGAGGGAAAGAUGAAAAGAACUUUGGAAAGAGAGUUAAACAGUACGUGAAAUUGCUGAAAGGGAAACGCUUGAAGUCAGUCGCGUUGUCCAGGGAUCAACCUUGCUUUUGCUUGGUGUACUUUCUGGUUGACGGGUCAGCAUCAAUUUUGAUCAUUGGAAAAAGGUUAAGGGAAUGUGGCAUCUUUGGAUGUGUUAUAGCCCUUGAUUGUAUACAAUGGUUGGGAUUGAGGAACUCAGCACGCCGAAAGGCCGGGUUUUAACCACGUACGUGCUUAGGAUGCUGGCAUAAUGGCUUUAAUCGACCCGUCUUGAAACACGGACCAAGGAGUCUAACAUGCCUGCGAGUGUUUGGGUGGAAAACCCGAGCGCGUAAUGAAAGUGAAAGUUGAGAUCCCUGUCGUGGGGAGCAUCGACGCCCGGACCAGACCUUUUGUGACGGUUCCGCGGUAGAGCAUGUAUGUUGGGACCCGAAAGAUGGUGAACUAUGCCUGAAUAGGGUGAAGCCAGAGGAAACUCUGGUGGAGGCUCGUAGCGAUUCUGACGUGCAAAUCGAUCGUCAAAUUUGGGUAUAGGGGCGAAAGACUAAUCGAACCAUCUAGUAGCUGGUUCCUGCC